rnacentral:rRNA from 1 species
GAUGAACGCUGGCGGCGUGCCUAAUACAUGCAAGUCGAGCGAACAGAUGAGGAGCUUGCUCCUCUGACGUUAGCGGCGGACGGGUGAGUAACACGUGGAUAACCUACCUAUAAGACUGGGAUAACUUCGGGAAACCGGAGCUAAUACCGGAUAAUAUAUUGAACCGCAUGGUUCAAUAGUGAAAGACGGUUUUGCUGUCACUUAUAGAUGGAUCCGCGCCGCAUUAGCUAGUUGGUAAGGUAACGGCUUACCAAGGCAACGAUGCGUAGCCGACCUGAGAGGGUGAUCGGCCACACUGGAACUGAGACACGGUCCAGACGCCUACGGGAGGCAGCAGUAGGGAAUCUUCCGCAAUGGGCGAAAGCCUGACGGGGCAACGCCGCGUGAGUGAUGAAGGUCUUCGGAUCGUAAAACUCUGUUAUUAGGGAAGAACAAAUGUGUAAGUAACUAUGCACGUCUUGACGGUACCUAAUCAGAAAGCCACGGCUAACUACGUG